AUUGAACGCUGGCGGCAGGCCUAACACAUGCAAGUCGAACGAGUGGCGCACGGGUGAGUAAUGUAUGGAAAACUGCUCGAUGGAGGGGGAUAACUACUGGAAACGGUAGCUAAUACCACAUACCAUCUGAUGUGCCCAGAUGGGUUUAGCUAGUUGGUUGGGUAACGUAUCACCUAGGCGACGAUCCCUAGCUGGUCGGUGAGGAUGACCAGCUCCACUGGAUGUGAGCCACGGUCCAGACUCAUAUCGUAGGCAGGAGUGGGGAGUAGUGUACAGGGGGAGCGAUCCUAAUGUGGACCAGCCGAGUGUAGGAAGAGAGGAAUGCGGUUUUAAACUAAUUUCAGCGAUGUGGAGUUAUUAUCAGAAGAAGCAUCGGCUAACUCCGUGCCAGCAGCCGCGGUAAUAC
rnacentral:rRNA from 1 species